rnacentral:lncRNA from 1 species
GAUGACGAGCAGUAUGUGUGGGAGUCCCAGGCUGGUGGUUCCUUCACUGUGACACGUGAUACUACUGGAGAGCCCCUUGGGAGGGGUACUAAGAUCACCCUCUACCUCAAGGAUGAUCAGGUACAAAACUCAAAAGUCUUGCCAUUAUCUACUUUCUUAUGCUACCUGUUCUGUUCACAUUUUAAUAUGUUCUGGGUACACUUGGUAGGGUACUGUUAGAUUGAAAUGCUGUUUAUGUCUUACUUCUGUUCAAAAUUCCCAUGAUUCUAUAAAUGUACCGUUCGAUUGAAAUGGUGUUCAUGUCUUUUAUUUCUGUGCUCUGGGGUUGUAAUGGAAGGGUGUACCUGUUCAUUGUUGAUUAAUGAUGCUCAGUUUUUGGAGGGUUUGGCAGAGUGUUCAGUGCUGGUGAAACUUGAGUUGUGUGCUGAUCAUAGUACUAUGUUUUUGACAUGUCUGUUGCAGUUGAAUUUAAUUGUUUAUCAUUGUUAUAGAAUUCAGUUUGUAUAAUUGUUACUAAGGUCUUGCUGUGAUCAUAUAUGUCUGUUGCAGUUGAUUGUUUACCAUUGUUCUAGAUUCAGAUAGUAUAAUUGUCGGCAAGAAUCCCUUAAAAUAUGAGUCAUUACUGUUGUCAUUGCAUAAAAUUGGACGAGUGUAAUUAGUGCCGUCCUAGAUUGUUGAUGCUAGCUAGUUUCUACUACUGCUACUGUUUUUGUUAGUAGUUAGUACUGCAUUUGUGCCAAGCGGCUUGGACCAUGUGGACUGACCUCAAUUCAUGUGCUAUUUUGUGUUUUUACUAUGAAUCAUAGUGCUAUGUUUUUGGGAUAUUGCAGUUCUGCCUUUCAUUGAUGCUAAUGGGUAUUUGAUAACUGAGGCAUGUCAGUUGCCCGGUUGCCCCUGACAAUUUAUCUAUUGUUCUCUGCAGUUGGAGUACCUUGAGGAGCGUCGCCUUAAGGAUCUGGUGAAGAAGCACUCUGAGUUCAUCAGCUAUCCCAUCUCUCUCUGGACGGAGAAGACCACUGAGAAGGAAAUUUCUGACGAUGAAGAUGAGGAUGAGAAGAAGGAUACUGAGGAGGGCAAGGUUGAGGAAAUUGAUGAAGAGAAGGAAGAAAAGGAGAAGAAAAAGAAGAAGAUCAAGGAGGUUUCUCACGAGUGGAACCUGAUCAACAAGCAGAAGCCCAUCUGGAUGAGGAAGCCUGAGGAGAUCAC